GACGACGGCUCAGUUAGGAACGACUGCUCUUGAGACGCCGUGUCUGGAGAACGGGUGAGUAACACGUGGGUAACCUGCCCAGAAGUAGGGGAUAACACCUGGAAACAGAUGCUAAUACCGUAUAACAGAGAAAACCGCAUGGUUUUCUUUUAAAAGAUGGCUCUGCUAUCACUUCUGGAUGGACCCGCGGCGUAUUAGCUAGUUGGUGAGGUAAAGGCUCACCAAGGCAGUGAUACGUAGCCGACCUGAGAGGGUAAUCGGCCACAUUGGGACUGAGACACGGCCCAGACUCCUACGGGAGGCAGCAGUAGGGAAUCUUCCACAAUGGACGCAAGUCUGAUGGAGCAACGCCGCGUGAGUGAAGAAGGGUUUCGGCUCGUAAAGCUCUGUUGUUAAAGAAGAACGUGGGUAAGAGUAACUGUUUACCCAGUGACGGUAUUUAACCAGAAAGCCACGGCUAACUACGUGCCAGCAGCCGCGGUAAUACGUAGGUGGCAAGCGUUAUCCGGAUUUAUUGGGCGUAAAGCGAGCGCAGGCGGUCUUUUAAGUCUAAUGUGAAAGCCUUCGGCUCAACCGAAGAAGUGCAUUGGAAACUGGGAGACUUGAGUGCAGAAGAGGACAGUGGAACUCCAUGUGUA
rnacentral:rRNA from 1 species